AGAGGCCAUAGCAUAGAAAGACAAGACUGGAUGAACAUGCUUCUGCUGGAGUGGAAUAGUAGGGCAAUACUCAACCACUAUAUGAAUAAAGAAAAGGUGCUCAAAAUGUCCAGAUGUGAAGAAGGUUCAUCUUACAAACAAAAACGUAGCGAUUGAAGCAUUUUUGAACAAGCAAAUAAACAUGAU